rnacentral:rRNA from 1 species
AGGACCAGCCUGCCCAGUGACCAUGUUCAACGGCCGCGGUAUCCUAACCGUGCGAAGGUAGCGUAAUCACUUGUUCUUUAAAUGUGGACUAGUAUGAAUGGCACCACGAAGGUUAUACUGUCUCCUUUUUCUAAUCAGUGAAACUAAUCUUCCCGUGAAGAAGCGGGAAUAUAUUUAUAAGACGAGAAGACCCUAUGGAGCUUUAAACAACACAGCAAUUACCUACUAAACUAUUAAGUUUCUGAAUAUUAACACUUUUAAGUAAUCUGACUGUAAGUUUUUGGUUGGGGUGACCACGGAGCAUAACACAACCUCCAUGCUGAAAGAACUCUUUCUAAGCUAAGAACAACCCAUCUAAGCAUCAAUAUAUUGACAUUCAUUGACCCAAUUCAUUUGACCAACGAACCAAGUUACCCUAGGGAUAACAGCGCAAUCCGCUUCAAGAGCUCCUAUCGACAAGUGGGUUUACGACCUCGAUGUUGGAUCAGGGUAUCCCAGUGGUGCAGCCGCUACUAAAGGUUCGUUUGUUCAACGAUUAAAACCCU